ACAAGUCACUGGCUGCUUGGCCAAAGAGAUAUACCUAUAAAUUCUUACGCGAACGAAUACAGGUUGAAAAAUCUACCUCUGAUCUCCCGAGAGGUUGUCGUCUUGAUCUCCUCAUAAUAAUGGCGCGUUUUCAGUCAUGUCGUUUUUAGCACUUCAGCAAUUACUAUCGUUAUCAUGUUUCCGUUAUUUGUUUAGGUGCAGAUUUAAAUAAUGCAUAGUCAUGUUGGUACUAGUGUACUUAAUAUAGUGAACAUGAUAAUUUUAAUCGAGAAAAUACCUGUAUGGAGCUAAGCUUCGAACGCUGGAGAAGUACUAUAGUGUCAGCUGUUCCUUACCAGUGAACUAAAAUAACACCCUUUAUUUUUCGAGCACCAUCCGGAAUAUUCGAGCGGUUCCAAGCAGUGCUGUUUUCUGCAAGUGCUCCAUCCUUAUUGCAGCCCCUAUUCGUUCCAUGUAUUUCUCAAGAUUUUUUACUCACUGUUCCAAAGGUGGUACUACUACCACCUUUUUCGGCGACCAGAACUGCUUAACCUCCGAAGCUAACCUGUCAUAUCUAUCGACUUUUCUUUCUUACUUAUUGCAUACCUCAUUAUUGUUAUUAUUAUUAAGCAAUGUUUCCUCGUAUUGUAAAUAUUUUCAUAUAUACUUUUACUGAUUGACGUACAACCAAGGAUAUUAAAAUCCACUAGACGGAGAGGGCCAUCCAGAAUUUCAUCCGUUAAAUGUCACACAAUGUAAUGUCUAUUUUUGUAUAUAAAAGUUUAAAGAUCAGUUUUUCAAGUGGACCCAACAA